rnacentral:rRNA from 1 species
AAGGAUCAUUAUUGAAAUUAUAGGUGAGGGUUGUAGCUGGCCUCUCGGGGGCAUGUGCACGCCCGAGCCCUUAAUCCACACACACCUGUGAACCUAUUGUAAGGGCCCUUAAAAAAGGCCUUUACGUCUUAUCAUCAACCCAUCGUAUGUCUCAUAGAAUGUAAAUAUAUGUCCUCGCCUUAAAAAGCGUUGAUAAACUUAUACAACUUUCAACAACGGAUCUCUUGGCUCUCGCAUCGAUGAAGAACGCAGCGAAAUGCGAUAAGUAAUGUGAAUUGCAGAUUUUCAGUGAAUCAUCGAAUCUUUGAACGCACCUUGCGCUCCUUGGUAUUCCGAGGAGCAUGCCUGUUUGAGUGUCAUUAAAUUCUCAACUCUGAUCGAUUUGUUUCGACUUCGGAGCUUGGAUUUGGAGCGUGCUGGCGUCGGUCGGCUCCUCUUAAAUGCAUCAGCGGAAUCUAACGUUUCGGACGUCAGUGUGAUAAUCAUGUUGCGCUGUCUGUCUGAUCUGAAAGCCCGCUCACAAUGGUCUUCGGACAACUUCAUAUCAAAUUUGACCUCAAAUCAGGUAGGACUACCCGCUGAACUUAA